ACUGGCGGUGAACAUAAUCUUAUCGUGUGAGAAAAUCUUCCCACGCAUUUGGCGAGAGAGCCGGUGGAGGCAUAAUAUGGCGGCUACCGUUCCCGCCGCCGGCAGCUGUGGCGCCACCGUAGUCUUCUCGUUCGCGCCGCAGAAGCCUGCGCCAUUCUCCAAGCACGUUCGCAAUGCUCACCGAUGCUCGACUUCGUCUUCCGUGAUUGCCCUACGCUGUAUUGGUGCUGCGGUACCGUGCUCUGUUUCGUCGCCGGAGAGUGCUGCUGUUGUUGACGAAGAUGCAGAAGAGCGUGAGACUUCAUCUGAUGAUGAGAUACCUUUGGCCACCGCCGGAGGAUCUGUUACUUCUCUCGCGGGUUGUAAGGCAUGCGGCCGAGACGAAAUCGAAAAUGGUUGUAAUGGUGAAGGAAGGAUUCAAGGUGGAAUUGCCACGGUCCCGGGCUUUGGCUGGUGGCCAAUAAAAGCUUACCGACCUUGUCCUGCAUAUUUGGCAUCUGGCGGCAGGUACAGAAGAAGCGGACAGAGUAUGGAUGAAGUUGUCUCUGGAAGAGGUAGAAAGGCUUCUGAAAGAACUGAGGAGGAUAAAUCAAGGAAGAAAAAAGUCGAGCCCAAGGUCAAGAGAUAACCAGUGAUGUCAUUUAUCUGCAGCCAACAUUUAAAGAAAAUAUUGGAGGAUACUUUGGCCACUCCAAUGAGCUCUCCCUCUCUUAGGAGUCGAAUUGGCCGCAAUCCUCAUCUGCUCAAUGAGGGCCUCUGUGUUCAUUUCCUCGGACAGAAUCUGCCCCAAUUCCUUCGGAUCAAUCACCAGCUUCACCUUCCACACGCCGCUACGGCAUUUCACAGGUGAGAUUGCUGACACUCUUAUUGCAUCUUCUUGUUGUUGCUGUCGUCUCUGCUCUUCAUUUACUUGCGCUGAAUUUGUGACUGGGGAUCUAAAUGAGCAGUUUCCCAUUUAGCUGAUAAUUAGUAAAGAUUUGGUAAUAAUAAUAAUAAUAAUUUGUGUGAGAACUUAGAAUUAUGAGGUUGUCUUUGUAGUGGUGAUUUAGAAGAGAAAAUUUUAAAUUGAUGCUGUUUUCAGGCGGUAUUUAUGGGCAUAACAUGUUUGGAUUGAAUUUUUCAAAGGGUCACGGAUGUUGAUGAGGAAAAUGACACCCUUUUUUAAGGGGGCCUUUUCUUGAAAUUUGGGUAGCAAAAAUUAAGGGGUUUUGGAAGUGUCCAUCAAUAAAGCAUGUGGGCAUUGGUUCUUGGUUAGAAUAAUAACACUAAAAAGUAAAUAGAGAUAAAUUUAAUUUGUUGUUGUAUAUGUUAGAAUAAGCCCCUGUUUCUUUGUUGCUUCUUCACAUGUGCUACAGUUAUUGGGUUAAAGCAUCCUGAAUUUUUGCCAUAUAAAUACCAAAUUAAAUUCUACUUUGUUCGAGUAUGUAGACAAGGGCCACUUGUCAGCACUAAAACUUAUUCAACUUAUUUUCU